rnacentral:piRNA from 1 species
AUCUAAGCGAGGAAACAGGAAGUG